AGAGUUUGAUCAUGGCUCAGGACGAACGCUGGCGGCGUGCUUAACACAUGCAAGUCGAACGGUAAGGCCCCUUCGGGGGUACACGAGUGGCGAACGGGUGAGUAACACGUGGGUAAUCUGCCCUGCACUUCGGGAUAAGCCUGGGAAACUGGGUCUAAUACCGGAUAUGAACUCCUGCCGCAUGGUGGGGGUUGGAAAGUUUUUCGGUGCAGGAUGAGCCCGCGGCCUAUCAGCUUGUUGGUGGGGUAAUGGCCUACCAAGGCGACGACGGGUAGCCGGCCUGAGAGGGUGAUCGGCCACACUGGGACUGAGACACGGCCCAGACUCCUACGGGAGGCAGCAGUGGGGAAUAUUGCACAAUGGGCGAAAGCCUGAUGCAGCGACGCCGCGUGGGGGAUGACGGUCUUCGGAUUGUAAACCCCUUUCAGUAGGGACGAAGCGCAAGUGACGGUACCUGCAGAAGAAGCACCGGCUAACUACGUGCCAGCAGCCGCGGUAAUACGUAGGGUGCGAGCGUUGUCCGGAAUUACUGGGCGUAAAGAGCUCGUAGGCGGUUUGUCACGUCGUCUGUGAAAUCCCUCGGCUUAACCGGGGGCGUGCAGGCGAUACGGGCAGACUUGAGUACUACAGGGGAGACUGGAAUUCCUGGUGUAGCGGUGAAAUGCGCAGAUAUCAGGAGGAACACCGGUGGCGAAGGCGGGUCUCUGGGUAGUAACUGAC
rnacentral:rRNA from 1 species